AGAACCUUACCAGGGCUUGACAUCCCGCGAACCCUGUGGAAACACGGGGGUGGCCCCUUUGGGGAACGCGGAGACAGGUGGUGCAUGGUUGUCGUCAGCUCGUGUCGUGAGAUGUUGGGUUAAGUCCCGCAACGAGCGCAACCCCUGCGCUGUGUUGCCAGCACUUCGGGUGGGCACUCACAGCGGACUGCCGGUGAAAAACCGGAGGAAGGUGGGAACGACGUCAAAUCAUCAUGCCCCUUAUGUCCUGGGCUACACACGUGCUACAAUGGCCGGUACAGACGGAAGCGACCCCGCGAGGGCAAGCGGAUCCGUUAAAGCCGGUCUCAGUUCGGAUUGCAGGACUGCAACUCGCCUGCAUGAAGGCGGAAUCGCUAGUAAUCGCAGGUCAGCAUACUGCGGUGAAUACGUUCCCGGGCCUUGUACACACCGCCCGUCACACCACGAAAGCUCGGAACACCCGAAGCCGGUGGCCUAACCCGCAAGGGAGGGAGCCGUCGAAGGUGGGCCGGGUGAUUGGGGUGAAGUCGUAACAAGGUAGCCGUAUCGGAAGGUGCGGCUGGAUCACCUCCUU
rnacentral:rRNA from 1 species